AGAGUUUGAUCAUGGCUCAGGAUGAACGCUAGCGGCAGGCUUAACACAUGCAAGUCGAGGGGCAGCAUAAUGGAUAGCAAUAUCUAUGGUGGCGACCGGCGCACGGGUGAGUAACGCGUAUCCAACCUGCCCACCACUUGGGGAUAACCUUGCGAAAGUAAGACUAAUACCCAAUGAUAUCUCUAGAAGACAUCUGAAAGAGAUUAAAGAUUUAUCGGUGAUGGAUGGGGAUGCGUCUGAUUAGCUUGUUGGCGGGGUAACGGCCCACCAAGGCAACGAUCAGUAGGGGUUCUGAGAGGAAGGUCCCCCACAUUGGAACUGAGACACGGUCCAAACUCCUACGGGAGGCAGCA
rnacentral:rRNA from 1 species